rnacentral:rRNA from 1 species
GAUGAACGCUGGCGGCGUGCCUAACACAUGCAAGUCGAGCGAUUCUCUUCGGAGAAGAGCGGCGGACGGGUGAGUAACGCGUGGUUAACCUGCCCUGUACACACGGAUAACAUACCGAAAGGUAUGCUAAUACGGGAGAAUAUGUUAUGCUCGCAUGGUCGAACUAUCAAAGCUACGGCGGUUCAGGAUGGACCCGCGUGUGAGUAGCGAGUUGGUGAGGUAAUGGCUGACCAAGGCGACGAUCAGUAGCCGACCUGAGAGGGUGAUCGGCCACAUUGGAACUGAGACACGGUCCAAACUCCUACGGGAGGCAGCAGUGGGGAAUAUUGCACAAUGGGCGAAAGCCUGAUGCAGCAACGCCGCGUGAGCGAUGAAGGCCUUCGGGUCGUAAAGCUCUGUCCUCAAGGAAGAUAAUGACGGGACUUGAGGAGGAAGCCCCGGCUAACUACGUGCCAGCCGCCGCGGUAA